GCUAGCGUGGCAGAGCUUGGCAAAUGCAAAAGGCUUAAACCCUUUACCCAGAGGUUCAAAUCCCUCUCCCCUAGCU
rnacentral:tRNA from 1 species